UGGGGAAUAUUGCACAAUGGGCGCAAGCCUGAUGCAGCCAUGCCGCGUGUGUGAAGAAGGCCUUCGGGUUGUAAAGCACUUUCAGCGGGGAGGAAGGCGAUAAGGUUAAUAACCUCAUCGAUUGACGUUACCCGCAGAAGAAGCACCGGCUAACUCCGUGCCAGCAGCCGCGGUAAUACGGAGGGUGCAAGCGUUAAUAGGAAUUACUGGGCGUAAAGCGCACGCAGGCGGUCUGUCAAGUCGGAUGUGAAAUCCCCGGGCUCAACCUGGGAACUGCAUUCGAAACUGGCAGGCUAGAGUCUUGUAGAGGGGGGUAGAAUUCCAGGUGUAGCGGUGAAAUGCGUAGGGAUCUGGAGGAAUGCCGGUGGCGAAGGCGGCCCCCUGGACAAAGACUGACGCUCAGGUGCGAAAGCGUGGGGAGCAAACAGG
rnacentral:rRNA from 1 species